rnacentral:rRNA from 1 species
CUGUGCCUACGGGGGGCAGCAGUAGGGAAUCUUCCACAAUGGACGAAAGUCUGAUGGAGCAACGCCGCGUGAGUGAAGAAGGGUUUCGGCUCGUAAAGCUCUGUUGGUAGUGAAGAAAGAUAGAGGUAGUAACUGGCCUUUAUUUGACGGUAAUUACUUAGAAAGUCACGGCUAACUACGUGCCAGCAGCCGCGGUAAUACGUAGGUGGCAAGCGUUGUCCGGAUUUAUUGGGCGUAAAGCGAGUGCAGGCGGGUCAAUAAGGCUGAUGUGAAAGCCUUGCGGCCAAACGG